AUGGGGAGCAGGAAGGGGGAAGGGGAGCUGCUGCAGGAGUUUUCACCUGGAUACAGUUGCUAUAGGAACCAGCAUCUCGGCGCCUCCGCUAUUCAGAGAAAUUUGCUUGCCCUAAGAGCGAGCAAAGUUAAGUGGGUUACCCGCAAGUGGAAAUGUUUGGCCCCUGCUUAUCCCAGUGGGAUGGGAGCCCCCUGGGCUGCAUCUGCACACGAGGCUGAAACCUUUCCUGAGCUGACAGAAGCAGUGCCUUUCUCCCUUUCUGCGAUCGCUAGAUUCAGGGCAAGUGCUGCAGAAUGGAAGAGACUUUUUCUGCUUUCCUUCCACCUCAGCAUAGAGCUUCAUGAAAACAAACUUUGUUUAUCUUCUCUGGAGAUUAAAUAUUAUUGA
rnacentral:lncRNA from 1 species